rnacentral:tRNA from 1 species
UGGAUUAUAGCUAAAAGCAUUAUUAUUUACAUUAAUAAGUAUGUUGGGUUUCAACUAUUCCAA